rnacentral:tRNA from 1 species
GCUGGAGUGGCGGAACUGGCAGACGCGCAUGAUUCAGGUUCAUGUGGGCAACCCCCGUGGAGGUUCAAGUCCUCUCUCCAGCA